CCUGCCUACGGGGGGCAGCAGUGAGGAAUAUUGGUCAAUGGGCGCGAGCCUGAACCGGCCAAGUCGCGUGAGGGAGGACGGCCCUACGGGUUGUAAACCUCUUUUGCCGGGGAGCAACGGGCGUCACGUGUGGCGCCACUGAGAGUACCCGGAGAAAAAGCAUCGGCUAACUCCGUGCCAGCAGCCGCGGUAAUACGUAGGUGGCAAGCGUUAUCCGGAUUUAUUGGGCGUAAAGGGAACGCAGGCGGUCUUUUAAGUCUGAUGUGAAAGCCUUCGGCUUAAACGG
rnacentral:rRNA from 1 species